GCCGAAGUGGUGAAAUUGGUAGACACGCCGUCUUGAGGGGGCGGUGGCGCAAGCCGUGUGGGUUCGAGUCCCACCUUCGGCACCA
rnacentral:tRNA from 1 species